rnacentral:tRNA from 1 species
GCCGAUGUGGUGAAAUUGGUAAACACAGCGCUCUCAAAAGGCGUCGGGGCAAAUCCCCAUGUAGGUUCGACUCCUACCAUCGGUA